UGGAAAGGGGAGGGCCCGUUGCAGAAGGGGGGAGGAGGGAGAAGUGCCCCAGAGCUGUUUGCUUUGCCAGGCUGAGUUUAUUUGCGCAGUACUUUUAUCACACCUUUCUGUUUGCUCCCGCCAGUAAACCGGGGUCUGUGUCAAACACUGACUCGGAGCAAUAAAAGGCCCUCCUGGAAAUCAGACAGAGCGACUGCGCUCCCCCGGCAGCCCCGCCGAGAAACCCGCUUCCCGGGGGUUGUUUUCUGGCGAGGAAAGAAUUGCUGAACUAGAGGAGAAAAGGCAACCCGGGAGCGAUGUCUCUGAAAGCCUGGCCCCACAUGGGCCCGGGGAUCAAUUGUGCCAGUCUCGGUUGGGCGAGUGACCGCAGCUUCUCCCCCACCAGGUCAGACAAAUCCCGUCCCCCGGUACCCCAGCUUUGCAGCUGAUCCUGCGCCCCUGGAAAUUGCCGAAUAUGCAAAAAAAAUACACAAAGCUCCCGGGUCGUCUCCAGCGAAUUCGGGAGCCAUUUAAACGCCUGCUAUUUUCUAGAGCGAUUUGUUACAAUCCGAGUUUAAAAGCCAGGUUGUGAAAACACCCCAGGUUUCGGACUAGGGGGAUUAUGGGUCCGAUCUCCGGGAGGAACCACGCGUCUACACCUGCUUUCUGCAAACCCAGUCCGCUUAGCGCCCGCUCCUCACCUGUGAGCAGUGUCUGCGUGCAAGGAGCUGGCUGCGUUCAGUUCCCAGUGGGACGAGACCCACAUUGCAAAGUUACCAUCACAACUGGCACCAGCUGGAAUCCUUGUUCGCUGGCCCAAUAUCGAAUGAGCCAUGCAGGCUGAAUGAUGUUCCCAGCCCCGAAAGCAGCUGUAGAUACCACUGGGUGAAAACUGUUUUCUCAGCAGCUUCCUCCCCCAGAAUUCAGUGGGGUGGUUGAAGGGUUUAAUGGGCCAUGAAUUAACUUCAUAGCCUUAGAGGUGUUCAAGGCAUUGGGCCCUCCAAUGCUGAGAAGAUCUGCAGUUUCAAGAGAGACUCAGACAAGCCUGGAUGUGCCUGCAGCAGAAAUGCAAGCAUCAAACCAUUAAAUACUAGGGGGCUUGCUUUAUGUUGCGCUGCCUUAGGUGACUGGCUGGCUGUGUAUGGUCUGGCCAUCAGACUGUACCUUUUCCUGGAACUCGAGCCUUUUACGCUUUCCAGCAGGGUGAAUGCUAAACGCAAAUAUUUAAAACAGUCUCUUGGACGCAUAGGGAACAAUUUGAUGAUCGGGCUGAUACUGCUGAAGACAGGGAGAGCUGCUGACUCACAGACAUUUGCCAAGAAGCUCGUGCAAACCCAUUUCAGCCUGUGGCACGUCCCCAAGCUGGUCGUGUCAACAGUCCGCUCUUCAGAUCAGUCGCACUGGCGGGAGGGCGGGUGCAAGACGGUGCCGGUUGCUGCCUGCAUUUUAAGCUCCAGGUCACGCAGACCUGCUGUGAGCAGGGUCGAACGCCGUCGUGCUUCAAACCUUAGCCUCUGCCUGGAGCCCAGCCUGUGCUAUUGUUUAUUAAUUGGGUAACAAAUGGCACCCAGAGGCCCCAGCCAAGACUGUGACCCUAUUGUGCAGGGUACUGUGUGUGCAGAGAAUGAGAGUUAGUCCCUGCUCUGCAGAGCUUACGGGCUACACAAACAAAGUCUGGGAAGGGAAACUGAGGCACGGAGAAUCACAGUGAUGGGCCCGUGGUCAUACCGUCGUGAGCGACAGAGCCAGAAAUAGAAACCCCAGUCUCCUGAGUCUCGUGCCAUCUGUGCUAGGUCAUACCACCGCGGCGAGACCGUUACACCUCUCCUGGACUAGCAUUCCCACUGGUGGAGCUGACCCAGGGAGAGCAACAAUGGGAAAUUUGGGAUCUUGUGCAAAGCCCUGAUCCUGCACUGGAGUCAACAGGUCUCUUCAUGAGCUCCAAGAGCAGGGUGCAGGAUCAGGCCCAAGACACUUAAUCUCUCUGCACCUGGGUGUGCCCGAGGGCUUCGAUUCUUGCAAUGAGAAGUGCUCUAGAAGUGCAAAAAUAUUGUUCGUGUUUCCUACUUUAAAAGUCAGUUGCCAGCACUUAUGAAACAGGCCCUGACCCCCACCAAAUCAUCAGCCCAUAUCGAAAAUAGUUUAGCUUCUCCCGCCCUGCUCCCACACAGCCAUGAGCGGACUCAUUUCUAGCCACAAUUCAUUCAUUAUCGAAAGGCAGCAGCAGCAGCAAGCCAGUCCGUUAAUUCCAGAGGUAAGAAAGGCCCUUUCUGCAGCCAGCUCCAGCCACAAACCCAAACAGAGAAAUGUGUCUUUGUCUAGGGAAGCUGCAGAGAAUGAAAUUCCCUUUGAGGAUAGACUUGUGUUUGUAAGAUUUCAACCUCCCUCCCCCCCAAAUCUGGACAAUAACAGCUUCUGUCUAAGGGAAUCAUUCCCCUAAGGUACCAGCUGAGUCUGGAGUAUUAUACUUUAGUACAGUAAUUAGGGUUCUGCUGCUGAUAAGGGUGCUGACCUAAGCCACUCUCUGCUAUGGACAGGCCAGUGAACUGAGUGUGCAUUACCUUCUGCUUCUAGCAGGACUCCCAGCUGCGUAGUAAUAGAAAGAAAUGUAAACAACUGGAGAUCUGUUGCUGAGGGAGCAGGAGGCUGGGCAGGGGACGGUAGGUGGCACAAUAACAUACAGUUGGUGGUAGGCCUGCUUUUGCCAUUGGAGUAAAUGGGAGCUUUGCCAUUGACUUAAAUGGGUACAGGAUCAGCCUGUAAAUUAAGAACAUAAGAACGGCC